AGCUCAGGCAGUCUGCCCACCUCAGCCUCCCAAAGUGCUAGGUUUAUAGGCACGAGCCACUACGCCCAGCCUCUUACUCCCUUUUAUAGUCCCCAUAGAGUAGUACUUCAAAACCUUGGCUGCACAUCGGAAUCACCUGGAGAGCUUUUCCAAGUCUCAGUGUUCAGGAUGCAUUCAUGACAUCUGGGCUGGGACCCAGGCAUUGAUAGUUUUUGAAGUUGCCCAGGGUAUUCCAGUGUGCACACAAGACUGAGAACCACUGCCAGAGGACUGUUCCAAAGAACCUUUAAUCAGGUCCCAAAUUUCACCUUCUGUUUCCUUAAGUUUGACUUAUUUUCACUUUACUGAAAGUAUCUUGGUAGAAAUCAAAAUAUCAAGGUAGAAAGUGUUAAAUUUCUAUUCCUCAUAGAGAGGAAUUGAUAAAGGCUUGUGGCGAUAUGAAGGGCAGAAUUUCAACUGGAGUGAUAAUUAGGGAACACUUAAAGAAGGAAAUGAUAUUUGAAAUGGAACUCUACUUUGUGGGAAGAAGGACAUUCUAAUGGAGAGAACAGUGUUAACAGUAUUUUUAUAAAGGAGCUUUGAGUGUCACAUGGAAUUUUGGUUAAGAAACUUGAAGACACAGUGUAAGGAACAUGGCUGUGCUUUGGUCAAGGACAGGCUGAGGUAAACAUCCAGAGUGACUCAGCAAGUUUAGAGUGCAGGCGUAUAACUCCACCUGUUAUCACAGCCAUGUGGCCAUAACAUGGGAAGAUUUAUCAUUUGGCUCUAAGCCACUAUUGUCUGUAAAAGGUAUAAUUGCCCUGCUGACACUGUAUAGGCACACUUGUGCCCAGAGAGAGAGAGUUAAGCUGCUGACCCUGAAGGCAAUGGAGAGCAGGCUGUGCAGCCAGCUCAAGCAGCCAAGACAGAGAGAACAGUGCGUGAGAGCUGUGGAUGGGAAAGCUGCUGAAUAAAACUACAUUUCACCUGCUUACGGCCCCGAGUGUUCUUUCAGCUAUCUGUCCAUCCACCCACUCCCCUCGGACCUCAGCAGGGGCUGGACCCUGGGCAUGACGUUUGGUGUACUCAUGAACCUGACAGUUGGCAUAGUUGGCCAGAUGAGGUGAGUGGGUCUUCAGUUCUGAGGGGUCUUGGGUCGGCUAUGUGGCCGCAGCAUGGGCUGUGGUACCCAGUGGCAGCGGUGCUGCCUGGGUGGGCCCCAGUGGAAACGUGGGAGGCAGUAGACAGGUCUCCCAUGAGUGUGGAGAAGGUACUGAAGCACCAGGAACUGCACAGCACUAAGGAAAAGCAUACCUUCGCUGGCAGAGUCACAUGGGCGUUUGUAACUGUGCUGCAGGAAUUGCAUGCCCAGUCCCUGCAGGAUGCAGCGCAGGGAGAAAGAACCUCUGUUGCAGGCUCGCCCAGUGAUCCACCAGAAAAUAUAGCAUGAGUAGCUGUUGGGCACCAAGGGUGAGCCUAGGGACCCUCCCCCCACCACCGUGGUGGAACACAUUUUAUAUGGUGCCUGCACCCCCGCUAUGUUGCGGGAGUCAAGCAAGUAAUGUCGGCAGUCAUGUACAGACUUAGUGCAAGUCAUUCAGGAGAAGGACGUUGGUGUACAACCUGGUCCUGCCCGAGUAUUCCAGUUCACAGAUUGCCUGCUGCAGUCAGGUGGAAGUGUAAAGCCUUUUCUGUUUGAUAAGAGACUGGCCGAGAUGCCUGGCUUGGGUGGCACCAGACAACCAAAGGCCAUAUGCGGACUUGGCAAUCCACUAGUCUCUGAACCCGGAUAAAUUUCCGGGCAGAGCUGUGUUUAUUAAUGGUUAUGAAGACCAGUCAGUGAAAGUGGAACCUGUGUCUGCACCUUGGCGUUCGCCACUUGGCUGUCUGCUUGUCCACUGUGCACAUCUCUCCCAUGCCUGGAGACAUUCUGGGGGUGGAUGUUUUGCACAGCUUGACAGCUGUGCUGUCUGUCACGGACUUGCUGGACUGCUUGACAAUAGAACUGGGAUGGUGCCACUGUGUGGUGGACCUGACCAAUGCAUUCCUCUCAAUCAACAUUGCUCCAGAGAGCCAGGAACAGUCUGCCUUCAUGGGAGGGUGACAAUGGACUUUCAUAGUGUCACUGCAGGACUAUAUGCAUAGCCUCAUCAUAUGUCAUGAUCUUGUUGAUGACGUUAUGCGAACCUCUGGUUCUCUUGCAGAUUUAGAAGUGGCAAUGCCCACCUUGCCUGGGGUUGCAUGGUGAGGCUUACACAGCCAAGCAGGCUCUUCAGUAGGCACAAGACCUAUGGGUAGUUGACUAGGGGUGCCCAUUUAAACUGAAUGUGCAUGUGACCACAAAUAGUGUUGGCUAGGGCCUAUAGCAGUGCAUGGAGACCUUGGAAGUGCCAACAGGCUUUUAGUCCUAGCUGUGGAAGGGAGCUGAGCUCCAGUGUUCAUUAAUACAGAAGCAGUUAGUAAUAGCAGAUGGGUGCAUUCAUGGGUAGUGACCCCCUGGACUGGGAAAGCAGUUAGUAACUACAUAUGCUGCCCAUCAGGCUCAUAAGAGUGUGGCAGAAUGGGUUACAGUCGUCAUAUGGACGACUUACCUGAUAGCAGGAUGGGUGCAUUCAUGGGUAGUGACUCCCCGGAUAAGGACGGUGCAGACAUCCACUUUAGUGAAGUGAAGCACCUGCUUAGAGCAGCGGAGUAUGCUGAGUACAAGUCCCUUAGCAGCAGAGUUACAAGAAGUCUUGGGACCUGUAGUCCUAAUGCAAGAUAAGGCCAUGGGGCCGGAGGUACACCUAGAAUCUGCACCUUCACUAUAAGGAAUGGUAUCCCCCCAUUCCUAAUGGGGCAUGGUACACAGGUCUAGUCGAGAUACUUGUGCUGCCUGGACUGUUGUCACAGUCCGGCCAUUCUACUGACACUAUAUGGUUUGAUACCAAGUGUGGGCAAAGUAGCUAAUGAGCUAAACUCAGAGCAAUGUGGAUGGUGAUCACCAAGAAGGUGACACCUACAGUAAUCUGCAGCUGUAGCUGGGCAGUUUAUUGAGGCUUAACCUUGUUGUUAAUUAUGUGAAAGUUAUAGAAUUACCUAGUCACCAACCCACAUAGGGCCAGGCCAUGUGGCCGGAUCCAUGAGAGGAAGGAUGACCUUCUCCAACCAGUUACGAGGAUGAGAGAUAAUCUGUUAUUACCUGCCCCAAUACCCCUAAAAGUAGGGAGACAAAACCUGGUGUCAGCCAUGGACCCUCCAAGCCCCUCAUUGCAGAUGGUUGGCGAUUGUGGCCUCCUGUGGGGAAGGGUCUGCAGUAUAACUUACAUGUUACUCCUUGGGUAUUUAAUGUGUGACCUCCACAAUUAGCCGUUCGUAGGGGAACGGCCAGGGAAGGAACCCUCCUCCGGGAACAUAUGUACUGUCUGUGUGGACUAUCAUAAACUUCCCUGUAACUUUGGCAUGGGUGCAGGACCCAAGGGAACCACAGAAAGCUGAUGAGGUGUAGCAUCAUCACCCAGGGCAGAAGCCCUUGGCAGCUGCAUUGUUAUCCAGGGAUGAAAAAUUGACUUGAAUUUUGCCUGAGGGACGUGAUUUACCCUGGUUAGUAUCCGUGCUUGCUUUGUUGUUUCAGCUGUAAGUUGGCAUGCUCCAGUAGCAUUGUGGACUGGUUCCACACCUUACUGAGGUGACCAAUGUCUCUAACUGUUGGAUCGGCACUGUCCUUCCAGCAGCAGCUGCGGAUGGCUUGCCCUGGCGUGUGCAUCCAGCUUCUGUGCAGAACUGCACACUGUCCAGGCCUCGUGGACAGUGGGUGGGAUGCAACACAUCAAGCUUUGAAUAGGAGGCGUCACAAAACCCAUGGCAAGCCUGCCCCCUGGCUGACUCUAGCGUCCAUGAUGGAUGGAGCUGUCUAAUGGGAGAACACGUGGUGCCCCCAUUGCGGACACCACCAUGUAUAGAGCAGCACUGGGGUAAAGUCACUGUGGGAUGGUUGCCUGCUGAGGUUUGUGCAAACAUAACACGAUCACUACACCAAGGGUGUUGUGGAAUAAGCGGCCUUACCAAGGCUGGGCCCCAGUGGACUUUGUACCCCCUGGGAGUUGAUGGGUCUGUGAGGGCACAGGAUGGCCAUAUCUGCCAGCCAAUUGGACUGUACCUGAGGGUGGCCCCAUGUGCCUGCCACUGUGCUUUCCACAUUGCCUGGUCACCUACAUGACUAGAGGGUGCUGCGUUUCCAGUUUUUGUGAGUGGGGUGGGCCCCCUUGUGGUUCUAUCCCUUAGCAAUAACUGUUCCUGGAGCAGGUGUCAUUACUGUAGGAAAUGCAAGUUACAGCCCUUGCAGAGCACACAGCUCGGGCCCUGAAUUGCAUCUGAGUUGCCCUCCUUUUGUUAACUGAUAAGGUUAAUCAGAUCAGGAAGGUGGUGCUACAAAACCGGAUGGCCUUAGACAUAGCCACAGCUGCCCAAGGUGGCACUUGUGCCCUUGUAGGGACACAAUGUUGAAAACUCAUCCCUGACAACCACCAGAACAUAAUGGCAGCUUUACAAGGGGUGUCCCAGGAGGUUAAGGUGAUUGAGCGCCUUGAUGAUGACCCCUGGAAGAGAUGGUGGGCAUCUCUGGGCUCUGGCCUACAUUGGGCUCUAAUAAUCAUGAGUAGCAUAGCAGGAAUAUUAGUAGUAUGUUGUUGCUCCUUAUAUUGUUGCUGUGGCCUAUAGGUCCAAGGUGCAGCCCUAUGUGCACCGGUCCUCACUAAAAGGACUCCAUCAGCCUAGGGGGUGGAAUGUAAGGCUUGUGUGCCAAGCCUAUAUAUCAAACCUAUGUACCCAAAACUUAUGUAUAAAGCCUGUGUGUAUAUAUAUCGAGCCUAUGUACCAAAGCUUAUGUAUAUAACCUGUGUAUCCAAGGCCUAUGUCUCCCUUGGCCGAGGGGGUGGAGUGUAAGGAACAUGGCUGUGCUUUUGUCAAGGACAGGCUGAGUGACUCAGCGAGUUUAGAGCUCAGGUGUAUAACUCCCCGUUACCACAACCAUGUAGCCAUAAAAUGGGAAGGCUCAUCAUUUGGCUCUAAGCCACUAUUGUUUGUAAAAGGUAUCAUUGCCCUGCUGACACUAUAUAGGGACUCUCGUGCCCAGAGAGAGAAAAUUAAGCUGCUGACCCUGAAGGCAAGGGAGAGCCAGCAGCACAGCUGUGUGUGGGAGCUGCCAGCUCAAACAGCUGAGACAGAGCGGACACUCUAAGAGAGGUGCUGAUGAGAGAGCUUCUGAAUAAAGCCAUAUUUCAUCUACCUAUGUCUCCCUGAGUUUUCUUUCAGCUGUUUGCCACUCAUCCACCCACUCCCUCCAGACCUCAGCAUGGGCUGGAACCUGACCCUGAACCUAACACAUGAAACUUAGAAGGCUGUUGCAAUGAUCCAGGAGUGAUAAAGUGAAAAUAUAAAUGAAGGCAGUGGCAAGUGAAUUGGGUGGGUCGCCUACAAGAUAAUAUGUUCUUUGAUUUCACUUGCUGGUGUGAAUUUUCUACUUCAUUUUUCCAUGACCAGGGUAACACUGAUUUUAAAACCUCUCUACAUCCUAACCUUUAUCUUCAGUUCAUCUCCAAUUUACCAACACACCAUGGAUACAGAAGAGGUGGGUAUGGGUCAGGGGGAGUAGAGGAAGAGUGAAGAGUUAAGAAUGACUCCCUGCUUUCUGGCUUGGGCCGCUAUGUUAUAAUAAUGACAUUCAGUGAGAUGGAAAAUGACAAUGAGGUGAAUUAAGUUUGAAGUAGAAGAGUACAGAUUUUGAAUAUGUCAUAGAACAGAUUCUGGGUGAUGUUCAUGGCAUAGCUGGAAAUAUAGGUCUAUACUUAGACUAAUUAAAUGAGAUAAAUGUAAAAAAUUAACAAAAGGCUUGAUACAUGUUAAGUACUAACUUGUGAUUUAUUAACAAAAUAAUUUAACCACCAAUGACAUUUAUAUUAGUGGUGAUUUUACUAUUAUGUAAAUUUCAGUGUUACUAUUUUUGGCUCCCUGAAUUUGUAGUAUCCCUAUGUACUAUGUUAUAAGAUAUUUUUGUCACCCAAGAAUGCUUAGCAGGCUGAGUAAAGCUGGCAAGUGUGAUAGGAAUAGAGGGAGGGGUGGUAAUAAUCUUAGCUAUAAUACACAAGGUGUUGCUACAUUCCCUUAAUAGGUAGAAUCUCAUUUAAUCCUUAACAGUAAUGCUAUGAGAUAGGCAUUAUUGGUAUCCUCAUUCUUGAGAUGAAGAAAUGGAGACGCAGAGAGACUGAGUAACUUGCCCAAAGUUAAACAGCUGGUAUGUGACACACAGAACCUAUAUUUGAACUUGUUCUGGUUCCACAGCUCAUGGUCUUAACCACUACCCUGCAGUUAGCUUGAAACACUAGUUUUUAAGUAAAGGACAAAGCAUUAGGAUGAGUCCAGCUUUAAGGGCUUAAAGAAAUGCACAGUGGAAGAAAAAUCCCAGCUAAAGGCAUUGGGAGUGCUAGCUGGAGGGUGGUUGAAUGAUACCUUACGUGAUCUCAACAUAAUUAGGAAAGAAAAAGGAGUUGUGUGAGGGUGAAGAUAUGGCCAGGGUAUAUCUGAUUUGAGUAAAAAGAAAUAUUGAGCUGUAGGAAUGGAUGUUUCCAUUUAGGAAGUACUGAUAUUGGAGCUAGUAGCUCCCUUGUGUAAAAAGUAUUUAGUUUGAAGGGUUUUGAUGUAGGCUGCCUUUCUGCUGAAGUUCAAAAGGGGUAAAAAAUUGUGUAAUUAUCCUAAUAAUUGAUAUCAAUCCUUUUUAAAAGUUUAAGCUUAAAAAGCAUAGUUAGGCCAGGUGUGGUGGCUCACCCCUGUAAUCCCAGCACUGUGGGAAGCUGAGGCAGACAGAUGACCCGAGGCCAGGAGUUUGAGACCAGCCUGGCCAACAUGGUAAAACCCCGUCUCUACUAAAAAUACAAAAGUUAGCCGGGCGUAGUGACACAUUCCUGUAAUACCAGCUACUCGGGAGCCUGAAGCAUGAGAAUUGCUUGAGCACGGGAGGCGGAGGUUGCAGUGAGCCGAGAUUGUGCCACUGCACACCAGCCUGGCAGAAUGAGACUCUGUCAGGGUGGAGAACAGUGCAGAGCAUAGUUACUUUUCAAAAAGAACAUGUGCCUUUUACAUCAGACCACCUGCAUUCACUUUCUGUCCCCAGGGAAAAGCAUCUUCGAGCAGCCUCAGCAUCACCUGGGAACUUGUUAGAAAUGCAAAUUCUUAAGCUCACUGCAGAGUUUACAGAAACUUGAGGAGGGGGCAGCAAUCUGGUUCACCAAGUCCUCCAGCUGAUUCUAAUGCGUACUCGAGUUUAAGAACCUCACUUAGAUCAGAUAGUUCAUUUUCAGCAAUGAUGCAUCACAGCUGUAAUAAAAAUAGUAUAAUAGUGUAAUUGAAAAUCUCAGUAACUGCUAUUACUACAUUAAUACAAGAUACAUUUAGGCAUAUUUCACAUGUACAAUAGGUUUCUGACUUCUGCAUGACUGUGCAAAGAAAUCCUUUCCUCUCCCAGUACUGGUUUCUCUAUCCGCUACCACUAUCACAACUGUCAAGGGAGUUGUGAGUAAACUAAUAGAUUUUAGAUAAUUUGCAAUUUAUAAAUAAAAGAAUAGAAAAAAACUGAAAAGUAUGAACAGUUUUGGGCAGUCCACACUGGAAGAGAAUAGUUAAUUCCAUUAUAUUCACUAAAGAUCUGAUAUCAAUAUACUAAAAAAGUGGACCACAGGUGAAAUUCAGAAGGGAGUCAUGUAAAUUUCUAGGUUCGGGUCCAUAAAACCAGCUUCACAAAUACUGGUGGGAUACUUAGUUUAGCUUCCAUAAUAAUGUAGGUGAAAAUAAGUUCAGGGUAAGGCAUUGGGAGUGUAUGUAGGCCCUCCAAAGGUUUGUGGCAUCUUCCUCUGCUUUAACAGCAUUGCUUCUCUAACUGGAAUGAAUUACUGUCUUCCUCCUUGAUUGUAAGAUCUUACCCAUAUGGCAGGUUCAUUGAUUCAUUCAACAAAUAUUGAUUGCCCUGGAGAUACAGUGGUGAACCAUAUAAAAUGCCUGCCAUCAUGGAGCUUACUUGCUAGUGGGAAGAAAAUACAAUAAAUGUCAUGUGCUACGUAGUUAUAAGUGCUGUGGAGAAAAAUAGAAAACAGAAUAGGGAACUACAAAAGACAGAGAUGCAGCUUUAAAUAGAAGAGACAUCACCAAGAAGAUAAUGAGCUGAACAAAGACCUGAAAAGAAUGAAUGAAGGCCUUAAUCUAGAACCUGUGCAGAAAAAGUGAAACUUGUGUUAAGGAGAGCCAGUAGGAUAGUAAGUGGGUCUUGUCAUCUGAGAAGUGUCAGGAACGUUUAACCUGCAAGACAGAAGACAGUGUUAGCUGCCAUCAAACGCUUGAAGAAUGGGCUUGGGAAGAAUUUGAUUUUCUUUGUUUUUGCAGGGAUUAGCAUGCAAUAAGAAAAUGACAGCUACAGGGAGAGCAUUGCCACUUGGAAACAACUUUGCAGAUGUUGUUCCUGCCUGUAGACAGGUUAUUGCCUUCAGAGAGCCUAGUUUCUCUUCCUUAAAGGAGUUUGAUAUUGUUUGGAUGUCACUUUAGUGGUGGUGAUGACUUCAGCUGGCAGAGCAACACAUAAGCUGCUGAGCAUCAGGGAUACAAGUGGCUGAGGAGUAAGCUGAGAAGCAGCAACUGAGCAUCAGAAACUACAGAUAGAUGUGGCUAACUUCAGACAGCGUGGCUUCAGGGAAAGAUCACCUUCUUCCUGCACCAUCCCCUUUCCAACUCUCAUCCCGCCAAGAACCACUUCCAUCACCAAAUAAAAUCAUCCACAUACACUA